rnacentral:lncRNA from 1 species
UUACACCACCCACGACCCUGACCCAGUCUCACAUCACACAUUACACCACCCACGACCCUGACCCAGCCUCACAUCACACAUUACACCACCCACGACCCUGACCCAGCCUCACAUCACACAUUACACGACCCUGACCCAGACUCACAUCACACAUUACACGACUCUGACCCAGCCUCACAUCACACAUUACACCACCCACGACCCUGACCCAGCCUCACAUCACACAUUACACCACCCACGACCCUGACCCAGCCUCACAUCACACAUUACACCACCCACGACCCUGACCCAGCCUCACAUCACACAUUACACCACCCACGACCCUGACCCAGCCUCACAUCACACAUUACACCACCCACAACGACCCUGACCCAGCCUCACAUCACACAUUACACCACCCACAACCCUGCACAGACCUGGGCUGACCCUGACCCAGCCUCACAUCACACAUUACACCACCCACAACCCUGCACGGCUGACCCAGCCUCACAUCACACGUUACACCACCCACGACCCUGACCCAGCCUCACAUCACACGUUACACCACCCACGACCCUGACCCAGCCUCACAUCACACAUUACACCACCCACGACCCUGACCCAGCCUCACAUCACACAUUACACGACCCUGACCCAGUCUCACAUCACACAUUACACCACCCACGACCCUGACCCAGCCUCACAUCACACAUUACACCACCCACGACCCUGACCCAGCCUCACAUCACACAUCACACCACCCACGACCCUGACCCAGCCUCACAUCACACAUUACACCACCCACGACCCUGACCCAGCCUCACAUCACACAUUACACCACCCACAACCCUGCACAGACCUGGGCUGACCCUGACCCAGCCUCACAUCACACAUUACACCACCCACGACCCUGCACAGACCUGGGCUGACCCAGCCUCACAUCACACAUUACACCACCCACGACCCUGACCCAGCCUCACAUCACACAUUACACCACCCACGACCCUGACCCAGCCUCACAUCACACAUUACACCACCCUCGACCCUGACCCAGCCUCACAUCACACAUUACACCACCCACGACCCUGACCCAGCCUCACAUCACACAUUACACCACCCACGACCCUGACCCAGCCUCACAUCACACAUCACACCACCCACGACCCUGACCCAGCCUCACAUCACACAUUACACCACCCACAACCCUGCACAGACCUGGGCUGACCCUGACCCAGCCUCACAUCACACAUUACACCACCCACGACCCUGCACAGACCUGGGCUGACCCUGACCCAGCCUCACAUCACACAUUACACCACCCACGACCCUGACCCAGCCUCACAUCACACAUCACACCACCCACGACCCUGACCCAGCCUCACAUCACACAUUACACCACCCACGACCCUGACCCAGCCUCACAUCACACAUUACACCACCCACGACCCUGACCCAGCCUCACAUCACACAUCACACCACCCAUGACCCUGACCCAGCCUCACAUCACACAUUACACCACCCACAACCCUGCACAGACCUGGGUUGACCCUGACCCAGCCGGUACCACCUCACACACACACACACACACACGCACUCCUAAUCCUAACCUGGUGUGGUGUUUGUUUCUAGUUAUAGCACUGUGUAACUCACACUGCUAAUCUACCAGAUUAACCUUGUGGUUCUGGUCAUGUUGAGUGGAUCACACUGUAAAAUCCCAUUCGGACUGAUCCUUACUGUAAGAACCCAUUCGGACUGAUCCUUACUGUAAAAUCUUAUUCUGACUGAUCCUUAAUGUAAGAACCCAUUUGGACUGAUCCUUACUGUAAGAACCCAUUCUGACUCAUCCUUACUGUAAGAACCCAUUUGGACUGAUCCUUACUGUAAGAACCCAUUUGAACUGAUCCUUACUGUAAGAACCCAUUUGAACUGAUCCUUACUGUAAGAACCCAUUCUGACUGAUCCUUACCGUUAGAACCCAUUUGGACUGAUCCUUACCGUUAGAACCCAUUUGGACUGAUCCUUACUGUGAGAUCCUUACUUGAGAUAAAUUGGCUCAAAGUUCAAAAUGAACAGUGACGCAGGUACAUAGAGGACAGGGCAGGUAUAUAGAGGACAGGGCAGGUACAUAGAGGACAGGGCAGGUACAUAGAGGACAGGGCAGGUACAUAGAGGACAGGGCAGGUACAUAGAGGACAGGGCAGGCCUACACAAGGAGAGAGGGAGGAGAAAACACAAAAGAUCGACAGCGGGGAAAUAGAGAGAGAGGUUCAUUUCUGUACACCGCUAAAUUAACACAAAGGAGUCACACAUACAGACUUCUCAUUCUCCACAGUUCACUCCUGUACACCAAAAUCAGGCUAGGUCAUGAUGUCUGCACAACAGCUGUUGUGUUAGGAUGUCCUCCUCCUCACCAGGCUUACACUGGGCUGCUAACCCAUAAUAUGACACUCACCCUCUAUCUCAAAGCCUGGCUGUAGAAUGGGAGGAGGACUGGAAUACUUCAGCCUAUUUUUAUCUGGGAAUCUGUCUCUGCUUGGGAGAGGGAGAGAGAACAGAUAUCUAAUUCUAGAGGAUGGGAAGUCACAAAAAGACUACUGUGCCAAUUGCACCUCACUGAUACUUAGUGUGUGUGUGUGUGUGUGUGUGUGUGUGUGUGGUCGGCUGUUGAGUAUUCAAAUGCCGCCUGGUGCCACCUAAAACUUUCUCUCUCCCGCUUUCCACCGCCUGUUACCCUCUCUCUCUCCUCCACCCCUCCCUCUUCUCUCUCUCUCUCCCACCCCUCCCUCUUCUCUCGCUCUCUCUCCCACCCCUCCCUCUUCUCUCGCUCUCUCUCCCACCCCUCCCUCUUCUCUCGCUCUCUCUCCCCUCCACCCCUCCCUCUUCUCUCGCUCUCUCUCUCUCCCCCACCCCUCCCUCUUCUCUCGCUCUCUCUCCCACCCCUCCCUCUUCUCUCGCUCUCUCUCUCCCCCCACCCCUCCCUCUUCUCUCGCUCUCUCUCUCCCCUCCACCCCUCCCUCUUCUCUUGCUCUCUCUCUCCCCCACCCCUCCCUCUUCUCUCGCUCUCUCUCUCCCCUCCACCCCUCCCUCUUCUCUCGCUCUCUCUCUCCCCUCCACCCCUCCCUCUUCUCUCGCUCUCUCUCUCCCCUCCACCCCUCCCUCUUCUCUCGCUCUCUCUCCCCUCCACCCCUCCCUCUUCUCUCGCUCUCUCUCUCCCCUCCACCCCUCCCUCUUCUCUCGCUCUCUCUCUCCCUCCACCCCUCCC